GACGAACGCUGGCGGCGUGCUUAACACAUGCAAGUCGAACGGAAAGGCCCUGCUUUUGUGGGGUGCUCGAGUGGCGAACGGGUGAGUAACACGUGAGUAACCUGCCCUUGACUUUGGGAUAACUUCAGGAAACUGGGGCUAAUACCGGAUAGGAGCUCCUGCUGCAUGGUGGGGGUUGGAAAGUUUCGGCGGUUGGGGAUGGACUCGCGGCUUAUCAGCUUGUUGGUGGGGUAGUGGCUUACCAAGGCUUCGACGGGUAGCCGGCCUGAGAGGGUGACCGGCCACAUUGGGACUGAGAUACGGCCCAGACGCCUACGGGAGGCAGCAGUGGGGAAUAUUGCACAAUGGGCGGAAGCCUGAUGAAGCAACGCCGCGUGCGGGAUGACGGCCUUCGGGUUGUAAACCGCUUUCGCCUGUGACGAAGCGUGAGUGACGGUAAUGGGUAAAGAAGCACCGGCUAACUACGUG
rnacentral:rRNA from 1 species